rnacentral:tRNA from 2 species
GUACGGUUCAAAUCCGAUAAGGGGC